rnacentral:rRNA from 1 species
UAGCAAUACUUAGUGGCAGACGGGUGAGUAACAUGUAGGUAUCUACCCUUUGGUCUGGAAUAACACGAGGAAACUUGUGCUAAUACCGGAUAAGUCUUUACGGAGAAAGCUUUAUGCACCAUUGGAUGAGCCUGCACUUGAUUAGUUUGUUGGUGGGGUAAUGGCCUACCAAGACAAUGAUCAAUAGCUGAUUUGAGAGGAUGAUCAGCCACAUUGGGACUGAGACACGGCCCAAACUCCUACGGGAGGCAGCAGUAGGGAAUCUUGCACAAUGGAGGAAACUCUGAUGCAGCGAUGCCGCGUGAGUGAAGAAGGCCUUUGGGUUGUAAAGCUCUUUCGUCGGGGAAGAAAAUGACUGUACCCGAAUAAGAAGGUCCGGCUAACUUCGUGCCAGCAGCCGCGGUAAUACGAAGGGACCUAGCGUAGUUCGGAAUUACUGGGCUUAAAGAGUUCGUAGGUGGUUAAAAAAGUUGGUGGUGAAAUCCCAGAGCUUAACUCUGGAACUGCCAUCAAAACUUUUUAGCUAGAGUAUGGUAGAGGAAAGCAGAAUUUCUAGUGUAGAGGUGAAAUUCGUAGAUAUUAGAAAGAAUACCAAUUGCGAAGGCAGCUUUCUGGAUCAUUACUGACACUGAGGAACGAAAGCAUGGGUAGCGAA